GGUAAUACUGAGAAAAGCCUGAGAGGGUGUCUGCAGGCUGCGUGUGGGACAGCCUGGACGUACAUGAUGUAGCCUGUACCUCAGAAGGAAGAUCAAGAGACCACAGAGAUGCCAGGGGCCUUUAAGAACUCACACGUCAAGGUCUAAAAUGGCAAAUGCUCCCUGCCACUUUCCGGCCCCCACCAGCCACGGUCACAGGUUGGGGUCAGACACCUUGCGGGAAUGUGUGCAGCUCCACCUUCGGCUUGGAAGUCAGGAACCCUCAGCUCCUCCCUCCCAUGAAACAGAGCAUGACCCAGAGAAUAAAGUUUUCCAUUUCCUACCCUCA